GGUUCUUACGGGUGACGGGGAAUCAGGGUUCGAUUCCGGAGAGGGAGCCUGAGAAACGGCUACCACAUCCAAGGAAGGCAGCAGGCGCGCAAAUUACCCAUUCCCGACGCGGGGAGGUAGUGACGAAAAAUAACAAUGCAGGACUCGUUCGAGGCCCUGUAAUUGGAAUGAGUACACUUUAAAAGCUUUAACGAGUAUCCAUUGGAGGGCAAGUCUGGUGCCAGCAGCCGCGGUAAUUCCAGCUCCAAAAGUAUAUAUUUAAGUUGUUGCGGUUAAAAAGCUCGUAGUUGGAUUUUGGGCGCAGGCGGCCGGUCCGUCGCAAGGCGUGUACUGGACGUCCUGGCCUUCCCUUCCGGUUCUCCGCCUUCUGCUCUUGACUGAGUGUCGGCGGCGGCCGGAACGUUUACUUUGAAAAAAUUAGAGUGUUCAAAGCAGGCUCUCGAGCCUGGAUAAUGGUGCAUGGAAUAAUGGAAUAGGACCUCGGUUCUAUUUUGUUGGUUUUCGGAGCGCGAGGUAAUGAUUAAGAGGGACAGACGGGGGCAUUCGUACUGUGCCGUUAGAGGUGAAAUUCUUGGAUCGGCGCAAGACGAACGACUGCGAAAGCAUUUGCCAAGAAUGUUUUCUUUAAUCAAGAGCGAAAGUCAGAGGUUCGAAGACGAUCAGAUACCGUCCUAGUUCUGACUAUAAACGAUGCCAACUAGCGAUCGGGGGGCGUUACAUUGACGACCCCUCCGGCAGCUUACGGGAAACCAAAGUCUUUGGGUUCCGGGGGAAGUAUGGUUGCAAAGCUGAAACUUAAAGGAAUUGACGGAAGGGCACCACCAGGAGUGGAGCCUGCGGCUUAAUUUGACUCAACACGGGAAAUCUCACCCGGCCCGGACACAGUGAGGAUUGACAGAUUGAGAGCUCUUUCUUGAUUCUGUGGGUGGUGGUGCAUGGCCGUUCUUAGUUGGUGGAGCGAUUUGUCUGGUUAAUUCCGAUAACGAACGAGACUCUGGCUUGCUAAAUAGUUACGCGACCAUCCCGGUCGGCGUUUAACUUCUUA
rnacentral:ncRNA from 1 species